AUAGGUCAUAGCAAAUACCCUUUUUCAACAACACAAGAGAUGACUUUACACAUGGAUGGACAUCACCAAAUGACCAAUACCGAAAUCAAAUGUAUACAUAUUAGACAAUAUAUCAAGACUAUAGAAUGACUUAGAGUAAUAAGGGUGGAAAUUGGACAGGAGAGAAGGUGAAUUCUUUAAGUUUUUGAAGUGACCCAAAUUCAAUAUUUAAUCUUUGAAGAAGAGGCAGAGGAAGAAGAGAGAUGGCAAUGGAGGAAGUAUAGCGGACAGUCAUCUGUCCACAGACUAAUUGAGAUCAAGAGGGUCCCAGAGCAGGAUGGAACAUAGCUCCGUGAGUUUCCUUUUCCUUUUUCGUGGGUGACAUGUGCCAAACCUGGGUGAUCGAGACCUUACCCUGGAACUUCACCAGUCUUACAUUUUAGGGCAGCUCUUCCCAGAACUGAGUCCUGUGGUUUGUGGUCAGUGAGGCCCAGCCUGUCUUCCUAGAUUUGGCACAGAUGUUGAUGAUUGUUCCUUCAGCUUCGAAACAAGGGUUUAUAGUGCCAACAAUUCAUAUUAAACAAAGCCUGUUUCCUCUAUAAUGUGAGAGCACUUUCCUGAUCACUCUUUAAUGAAAACAGAUGUUUCUGAAACAGCCUCUAACAGGAUAUGGAAAAUUUGGCCAAUAAUCAAAUAUAGGUUCAAAGGGAGAUCCUUGAUGGCCCCGUUUGCACUGUGGACAAUGGCUAAAAAUAGCACAUUGAUGCAGUACUUUUAAAAUGUAACAACUGUUACAGAAUGCUGCUGAAUUCUGGAAGCAGCCAUCUGAUGUCCGGAGGAAGCUCCCCAGUGAAGGGGACAGAGUGAGGCGGGGGUUUCUCCCCUGUGGAGAUCCUGUGGAGUGAGCCACCAGGAGGGACAAGGUAGCAGAGAGUUGGACCAUUUUAACAAGAGCAUUCAGCUAAAGAUUUGAAUUCUCUCACUUCUAUCUUGCCUUUGGAUCCCUUGUCACCAUUUUCUUCAAAUCCAGGCAAAACAAGACACCACGAGGCCUCAUGUUUGUGAUUAUUUUGCUUGUGUUUUAAAGUCUGUUCUUUCCCUAACGUUGUGUAUUCUCCAAGGACUUCUCCAAUCCACCUCACUCCUCAGCUGGUGUUGGCAACAACUUUGGUAGAUGUUUCAAAAUACUCAACAGUUUACUCCUUGCCUGCUUUUAUUUCCCUCUCUUCUACAUGUAAUGCAUAAUGUACGGGCUACACAUGUUUGUUUUGCCAGUGGUGGAAACAUUUAACUAAAUGUUUACUGAAAUCA